GAUGAACGCUGGCGGCGUGCCUAAUACAUGCAAGUCGAGCGAACAGACGAGGAGCUUGCUCCUCUGACGUUAGCGGCGGACGGGUGAGUAACACGUGGCUAACCUACCUAUAAGACUGGGAUAACUUCGGGAAACCGGAGCUAAUACCGGAUAAUAUAUUGAACCGCAUGGUUCAAUAGUGAAAGACGGUUUUGCUGUCACUUAUAGAUAGAUCCGCGCCGCAUUAGCUAGUUGGUAAGGUAACGGCUUACCAAGGCAACGAUGCGUAGCCGACCUGAGAGGGUGAUCAGCCACACUGGAACUGAGACACGGUCCAGACUCCUACGGGAGGCAGCAGUAGGGAAUCUUCCGCAAUGGGCGAAAGCCUGACGGAGCAACGCCGCGUGAGUGAUGAAGGUCUUCGGAUCGUAAAACUCUGUUAGUAGGGAAGAACAAAUGUGUAAGUAACUAUGCAUGUCUUGACGGUACCUACACAGAAAGCCACGGCUAACUACGUG
rnacentral:rRNA from 1 species